rnacentral:rRNA from 1 species
UACGAAGGGGGCUAGCGUUGUUCGGAAUUACUGGGCGUAAAGCGCACGUAGGCGGAUUAGUAAGUUAGGGGUGAAAUCCCGAGGCUCAACCUCGGAACUGCCUUUAAUACUGCUAGUCUCGAGUUCGGGAGAGGUGUAUGGAACUCCUAGUGUAGAGGUGGAAUUCGUAGAUAUUAGGAAGAACACCAGUGGCGAAGGCGAUACACUGGCCCGAUACUGACGCUGAGGUGCGAAAGCGUGGGGAGCAAACAGG